UACGAAGGGGGCUAGCGUUGUUCGGAAUUACUGGGCGUAAAGCGCGCGUAGGCGGACCUGCAAGUCGGGGGGUGAAAGCCCGAGGCUCAACCUCGGAACUGCCUUCGAUACUGCGGGUCUCGAGUCCGGGAGAGGUGAGUGGAAUUCCUAGUGUAGAGGUGAAAAUUCGUAGAUAUUAGGAAGAACACCAGUGGCGAAGGCGGCUCACUGGCCCGGUACUGACGCUGAGGUGCGAAAGCGUGGGGAGCAAACAGG
rnacentral:rRNA from 1 species